rnacentral:misc_RNA from 1 species
AAUUUCUCAAAUUCUUCAUGUUCCUGGUAGCAUCGUAAAGGUUGGAGAAACACUUUUGAAGAUCGGCGUUGAUGAAAUUCUUGAUCCUACUGAGACUUCUGAUGCUUCAGAAAAGAUGAUAUCGCUGGAAUCUGAUUUCAGUGGCACAAGUGACAUCAGCUCUGUGCCUGCAGAAACCAAGAUGGGGGGAGUGUUAUCCACACCUGCUGUCCGCAACCUUGCAAAGCAAUAUAGUUUGGACAUAAAUGAUGUUCCUGCAACUGGGAAAGGUGGAAGGAUACUUAAAGAGGACGUGAUAAAUUAUGCAAUGCAAAAAGGACUAAUUAAUGGAGCACCAGCAUGUGAACAACAAAACCUGUCAGAGGUUUCACCUCCCAUUGGAGGGGGAUAUGAAGAUAAGACGCUUCAGCUAAGGGGUUAUCAGCGUGCCAUGGUUAAGUCAAUGACAUUAGCUGCAAAAAUUCCACAUUUUCAUUAUGUCGAAGAGAUAAAUUGUGAUGCACUUGUGGAGCUCAAAACAUCAUUCAAGAAUGAGACUUCUGAUCCGGAGAUCAAGCACACUUUCCUUCCCGUCCUCAUAAAAUCACUUUCGAUGGCUUUAACUACACAUCCAAUGCUAAAUAGUCGCUUCAGUGAGGAAUCCUAUGAGGUUAUCCUAAAAGGGUCGCACAACAUUGGAAUAGCAAUGGCUACUCCAAAUGGUUUGGUUGUACCAAACAUAAAAAAUGUUCAGUCUCUCUCAAUCUUGGAGAUAACAAAGGAACUGUCACGGCUACUGAAUUGUGCUAAGAUAAACAAGCUUAGUUCGGAUGAUGUAUCAGGGGGAACUAUUACUCUAAGCAAUAUUGGAGGAAUUGGUGGAAAGUUUGGUUCCCCACUUGUAAAUUCACCUGAAGUUGCCAUCAUAGCAAUGGGCCGGAUCCAGAAAAUUCCACACUUUGCUGAAGAUGGGAAUGUAUGUCCUGCAUCAGUCAUGACGAUAAAUAUAGGUGCAGAUCAUAGAGUUCUUGAUGGAGCAACUGUUGCAAGGUUCUGUAACGACUGGAAAAAGUUUGUGGAAAAGCCAGACCUCCUAUUGUUGCAUACAAGAUAAUUAUUGUAUCCGAGACUUGAUCAGAAAUAAUUUAUUUGUUAUCUAAGAACAAAGGCUCAUUUUGGCCUUCCUUGUCAUUAUUUUGUGGGUAUAAAGAAAGAUCAUUUGAAGCUUAUAGGUGUCGUGAAAGAAAGAAUCACUGAAUCUCAUAGAUAAAGGCAGUGUUACCUAGUCUCCUGUUGUCUGUUGUCGGAAUGUGACAACAGUUGGAAAAAUAGAAGAGA